rnacentral:rRNA from 1 species
UACGUAGGGUGCGAGCGUUAAUCGGAAUUACUGGGCGUAAAGUGUGCGCAGGCGGCCGAGCAAGUCGAGUGUGAAAGCCCCGAGCUUAACUUGGGAACUGCGCUCGAAACUACUUGGCUAGAGUGUGGCAGAGGGAGGUGGAAUUCCACGUGUAGCGGUGAAAUGCGUAGAGAUGUGGAGGAACACCGAUGGCGAAGGCAGCCUCCUGGGCCAACACUGACGCUCAGUGCACGAAAGCGUGGGAGCAAACAGGAUUAGAUACCCGUAG